UACGUAGGGGGCAAGCGUUGUCCGGAUUUAUUGGGCGUAAAGGGCGCGUAGGCGGCCAGUGCAAGUCAGUUGUGAAAUCUCCGAGCUUAACUCGGAAAGGUCAACUGAUACUGCUCGGCUAGAGUGCGGAAGGGGCAACUGGAAUUCUUGGUGUAGCGGUGAAAUGCGUAGAUAUCAAGAGGAACACCUGCGGCGAAGGCGGGUUGCUGGGCCGACACUGACGCUGAUGCGCGAAAGCUAGGGGAGCGAACGGG
rnacentral:rRNA from 1 species